UAACAAGGAUUCCCCUAGUAACUGCGAGUGAAGCGGGAAAAGCUCAAAUUUAAAAUCUGGCAGCUUUGGCUGUCCGAGUUGUAGUCUGGAGAAGCGUUUUCUGUGCUGGACCGUGUACAAGUCUCUUGGAACAGAGCGUCAUAGAGGGUGAGAAUCCCGUCUUUGAUACGGACUGCCAGUGCUAUGUGAUGCGCUCUCAAAGAGUCGAGUUGUUUGGGAAUGCAGCUCAAAAUGGGUGGUAAAUUCCAUCUAAAGCUAAAUAUUGGCGAGAGACCGAUAGCGAACAAGUACCGUGAGGGAAAGAUGAAAAGCACUUUGGAAAGAGAGUUAAACAGUACGUGAAAUUGCUGAAAGGGAAACGCUUGAAGUCAGUCGCGUUGACUUGAACUCAGCCUGGCUUUUGCCUGGUGCAUUUUUGAGUCAACGGGCCAGCAUCAAUUUUGACCGCUGGAAAAAGGCCUUGGGAAGGUGGCACCUUCGGGUGUGUUAUAGCCCUUGGUUGCAUACAGUGGUUGGGAUUGAGGAUCUCAGCAUGCCUUUAUGGCCGGGGUUCGCCCACGUUCAUGCUUAGGAUGCUGGCGUAAUGGCUUUAAACGAC
rnacentral:rRNA from 1 species